rnacentral:tRNA from 1 species
GUGUGGUUCACUGGUGGAACAACUGCAUGGCAUGCCAAAGGUCCCAGGUUCAAGUCCUGGCAGCAACA